rnacentral:tRNA from 4 species
GCCCGGGUGGCGAAAUUGGUAGACGCAAGGGACUUAAAAUCCCUCGGUAGAAAUACCGUGCCGGUUCGAUUCCGGCCCCGGGCACCA